AGAAUCAACGCUGGCGGCGUGCCUAACACAUGCAAGUCGAACGCGAAAGUCCCGCAAGGGAUGAGUAGAGUGGCAAACGGGUGAGUAACACGUGGGUGACCUGCCCUCGAGCGAGGGAUAACGUCCCGAAAGGGACGCUAAUACCGCAUGACAUCCUGCCUUUGAACAGGCGGAGAUCAAAAGCCGGGGACCGCAAGGCCUGGCGCUUGAAGAGGAGCCCGCGUCCGAUUAGCUAGUUGGCGGGGUAACGGCCCACCAAGGCGACGAUCGGUA
rnacentral:rRNA from 1 species